rnacentral:rRNA from 1 species
GACGAACGCUGGCGGCGUGCCUAAUACAUGCAAGUUGAGCGCUGAAGGUUGGUACUUGUACCAACUGGAUGAGCAGCGAACGGGUGAGUAACGCGUGGGGAAUCUGCCUUUGAGCGGGGGACAACAUUUGGAAACGAAUGCUAAUACCGCAUAAAAACUUUAAACACAAGUUUUAAGUUUGAAAGAUGCAAUUGCAUCACUCAAAGAUGAUCCCGCGUUGUAUUAGCUAGUUGGUGAGGUAAAGGCUCACCAAGGCGAUGAUACAUAGCCGACCUGAGAGGGUGAGCGGCCGCAUUGGGACUGAGACACGGCACAAACGCCUACGGAAGGCAGCAGUAGGGAAGCGUCAGGAAUGGAUGAAAGUCUGACCGAGCAGCGCGGCGAGAGUGAAGAAGGUUUUCGGAUCGUAAAACUCUGUUGGUAGAGAGGAACGUGGGUGAGAGUGGAAAGCACAUCAAGUGACGGUAACUACCCAGAAAGGGACGGCUAACUACGUG